rnacentral:tRNA from 1 species
GUGGGUAUAGCUCAGUGGUAGCGCGCAUGCACGAAGUCCUGGGUUCAAUCCCCAGCACCCCCA